rnacentral:misc_RNA from 1 species
AGCCAUUUAUACAAUAUAAGGCAGUUGAGUCGAUCCUGAAGACAUAUUCUUGAUUUACUCGUUGUUAUAUUUUGGUUUCGGCUGUGUACCGAAAAACUCUUUGUCUUGAUUCUCAUUGCGCAAACUCAACGAACCUCGCAAUGGAGGACGGAUUUAUGAAGCCAUGGCAACAAUGCUGUGACCAUUUUGGCGUUGAUGUGGAUAAUGGCCUCUCAACGGAUCAAGUCAAAAGGAACUUGGAAAAGUAUGGUCCCAAUGAACUCCCUGCUGAAGAAGGAAAAUCCAUUUGGCAACUUAUUUUGGAGCAAUUUGACGACCUUUUAGUUAAAAUCCUUCUUUUGGCGGCCGUCAUCUCUUUUGUAUUGGCUUUCUUUGAAGAAGGUGAAGAAACAGUGACAGCAUUCGUGGAACCUUUUGUCAUUUUACUUAUUUUAAUAGCCAAUGCCAUUGUUGGUGUGUGGCAGGAACGUAACGCAGAAUCCGCUAUUGAAGCCCUCAAAGAAUAUGAACCUGAAAUGGGAAAAGUUGUACGCACAGAUAAAGAUGGUGUUCAAAAAAUUCGUGCCAAGGAGAUUGUUCCUGGAGAUAUUGUCGAAGUUUCAGUCGGUGACAAAGUACCUGCUGAUAUACGAUUGAUUAACAUUAUGUCUACAACUCUAAGAAUUGAUCAAUCAAUCUUGACUGGAGAAUCCGUAUCUGUCAUUAAACAUACCGAUCCUGUACCGGAUCCCCGAUCUGUCAAUCAAGAUAAAAAGAACAUUAUUUUCUCUGGAACAAAUGUAUCUGCUGGUAAAGGUCGUGGUAUUGUUAUUGGAACUGGAUUAAAUACCGCUAUCGGUCGCAUUAGAACAGAAAUGACUGAGACUGAGGAAAUAAAGACACCUCUUCAACAAAAGUUGGAUGAAUUUGGUGAACAAUUGAGUAAGGUCAUCACCUUGAUUUGUAUUGCUGUCUGGGCUAUCAACAUUGGUCAUUUCAACGAUCCUGCACAUGGCGGUUCUUGGGUGAAAGGAGCUAUUUAUUAUUUCAAAAUUGCCGUUGCUCUUGCUGUAGCUGCCAUUCCAGAGGGUCUACCAGCUGUUAUCACUACUUGUCUUGCUCUUGGAACACGUCGUAUGGCCAAGAAGAAUGCUAUCGUUCGAUCCCUCCCCUCAGUGGAAACAUUAGGAUGUACUUCAGUUAUUUGCUCAGACAAAACUGGUACUCUAACUACUAACAUGAUGUCUAUCUGUAAGAUGUUUGUUUUUAAAUCAGAAACUGACAUUAAUGAGUUUGAGAUCUCUGGAUCAACUUAUGAGCCAGUUGGAGAUAUUUUUCACCAUGGCAAAAAAGUAAAAGGAUCAGAUUUUGCUGGUCUUGAGGAACUUACCACUAUUUCUAUUAUGUGUAAUGACUCAGCUAUUGAUUAUAACGAAUACAAAAACGCAUUUGAAAAAGUUGGCGAAGCCACCGAAACUGCUCUUAUUGUCCUUGCCGAAAAAAUUAAUCCUUACUCAGUUUCAAAAUCUGGUGGACGUCUUGAUUCCGCCAAGGCUGUUAGGAAAGACAUGGAAAGUAAAUGGAAGAAAGAAUUCACACUCGAAUUCUCUCGUGAUCGCAAGUCUAUGUCUACUUAUUGCACGCCAAAAGCAAACACAAAUCUGGGGUCUGGACCAAAAAUAUUCGUUAAAGGAGCGACUGAAGGUGUAUUGGAUAGAUGUACUCAUUAUCGCAUUGGAUCCGAGAAAGCUCCCAUGACUUCAGCUAUUCGCGAUCUCAUUCUUCAAAAAUCAACCGCUUAUGGAACUGGGCGAGAUACCCUUCGUUGUCUUUCUCUUGCCACAGCUGAUUCUCCAGUAGAUCCUAGUGCAAUGAACUUGGAAGAUGCUAAUCAAUUUGUGAAAUACGAGACCAAUUUGACAUUUGUUGGUGUUGUUGGUAUGUUGGAUCCUCCUCGUCUCGAAGUAAAGCCAAGUAUUGCUAGAUGUAAAGAAGCUGGAAUUAGAGUAAUUAUGAUCACUGGGGACAAUAAAAAUACUGCUGAAGCCAUCUGCCGUAGAAUUGGCAUCUUAGAUGAGACUGAGUCUUCCAUUGGUAAGGCCUUCUCUGGUCGUGAAUUUGAUGAUCUCUCUCCUCAUGAACAAAAACAAGCAUGCGCUAAUGCUUGCAUGUUUGCUCGUGUAGAACCAUUCCAUAAAUCUAAGAUUAUUGAGUAUUUGCAAUCAAUGAAGGAAGUCACUGCUAUGACUGGUGAUGGUGUAAAUGAUGCUCCUGCAUUGAAGAAGGCAGAAAUCGGUAUUGCUAUGGGAUCUGGAACUGCUGUGGCAAAAUCUGCUUCUGAAAUGGUACUUGCUGAUGAUAACUUUGCUUCCAUCGUGGCUGCUGUUGAAGAAGGAAGGGCUAUUUACAACAAUAUGAAACAAUUUAUUCGCUAUUUGAUCUCAUCCAACAUUGGUGAAGUUGUAUCCAUAUUUUUAACUGCAGCUUUGGGUCUGCCUGAGGCUCUUAUUCCUGUACAACUCCUUUGGGUAAAUCUUGUCACUGAUGGACUACCUGCCACUGCUUUAGGAUUUAAUCCUCCUGAUUUGGACAUUAUGGACAAGGCUCCUCGUCGCUCUGAUGAAACUCUUAUCACUCCAUGGCUUUUCUUCCGUUACAUGGCUAUUGGUAUUUAUGUUGGAUUCGCAACUGUUGGAGGAGCUGCUUAUUGGUUUAUGUAUGAUCCCACUGGACCUCAAGUUACUUACUUUCAAUUGAGUCACUGGUUACAAUGCCAAGGAGAACCCGAAAACUUUAAAGGAUUAUCAUGUGAUAUUUUCCAAGCUCCUGAACCAAUGACAAUGGCUCUUUCUAUUUUGGUUACAAUUGAGAUGUGCAACGCCAUUAACUCACUCUCUGAGAACCAAUCUCUUGUGGUGAUGCCUCCUUGGAUUAAUCCCAUGUUGAUUGCAGCCAUGGUUUUGUCAUUCUCUCUUCAUUUCCUCAUUCUUUACGUCGACAUCUUUUCCGUUGUUUUCCAAAUUACACCUCUAUCUAUUGAACAGUGGAUAACGGUUAUGAAGUUCUCUCUACCUGUUAUCGGUUUAGAUGAAGCAUUGAAAUUUGUUGCUCGCAACUAUACUGAGGGUAAGGGUGUACAUAUUCGUUGGACUGAACUAAUAGCGAUACUCGUUGGCUUCGCGGCGUAUGGUUACGCUUGGUAUCUACACGAAAUGGCUAUUAUGGCUAGAUUAUAAUAUUAAUGAAAUCACACAAAAAAAACAAAAAAAUUCAAGAGACUUAUGUUUUAAUUAAUUUAUCCCAAUUAUAUAUUAUAUCCUUCUUGUUUUUUUUUCUCACACAUACUACACAAAUUCCUCUGUUAAGACCACGGUGGAAGAAGGGUAAAUUUUCUUUUACAAAAAAAAAAAAAGAAAAAAAGUGUUCUAUUUUCCCCUUUUACUUUUCCCCGUAUCCUUUGUUAUCCUACACUUCUAUAGAAGGAAAAAGAUUCAUGAGCAUGUAAUAAAGAAACUCUACAAAAUUUCCUUGAGCCUCAACAACACCUCACCUGCUUCUCAUUUAUAAAUCUCAUAGAAAACAAUCCUAUUACCUAUUUUUGCGUGUGUAUAUUAAUAAUAUUCUAACUUGAAAAAUGUGUUAUUCCUCAUUUUCAAAGGAACGAAAAAUUGAGGCGGGAAAGAUAUUUUUAUAUUGGAAUUGUCAUAGUAUGUUUUAAAUUAUGUUUCCUUUUUUUCUUUAAAUAUUUUAUAUGAGUAUACCUUGUGUUAACUCAUAAAUUCAUUUCUAUUUAAAAAAAGCAAAAAAAAAAACAAAAAAAUCAACUUCAUCCUUGAAGCGUUAGGUUCAACAUAAUUUUUUUUCAAUUUUUUCAGAUAUUAUCAAAUUUUAAUCCAUUUUUCUACUUUUUGUGCUGAUUUUACAAUAUGUAUUUACAUUUAAAUUGAAAUACUCUUACUGCAACAGUAAAUCGAUCGGUCUUGUUAUAAUUACCAUCUCUUUUGAAAACUUAGCAUAUUUAAAUUAAAUCAUUUCAAUCUUCAUGUUUCAAUUAUAAAUAUAUUAUUUUUGUUGUAAGAAGAAAGUAGUGUCCUUCUUCAGUACAAGCCAUACAUAACUUGAUAUUCUAGAUUUAGUAUGAUGAUUACAAUACACACAUUUAAUUAUUAUUAUUACAUUUUGUAUUCCUGAUAUUAUGUCUUUACCGACGUUGUAUAUAUGCAGAAAAGAAAGAAAAAAAAAGGAAAAAAAAACUUAAAAAAGAAAGAUAAUAAUCAAAAAUAAUCUUACUACUAUUUUAGGUUUUAUUUAGUGAAUUUUUUGCUUAUUUUUGACCGAAUCUGAAAUACAUCAAAUGUUAUCGAGAAAAAAAAACAAAACAAACAAAUUACUAAUGCCUUAAAUUUUUCACGUAACAUGCCUGUGUGCUCUCUUAUUAGAUUACACCUAAUAAUGAGUUUUCCUUGCAAAGUGUGUACUUAAUUACUCUGGUGUUUGAAGUUUGAACUAUUUCUUCAUUUAACGGUGUUGGAUCCUUUCCUUCAGUUUGUUGGGUUUGCGUGAAUAUAGUGUGUUCCUUAACAACACAAACCAGUGAGUAUCGCAAAGGCAACCAAAAAGAAAGUUAAAUGAACCCACAAGUUCCCCAUGGAAAGAUGAUGAUGUUUAUCUUCCAUUAUGCGUUGAGAAACUCUCAAAAUACCUCCGAAUUCUAUAAAUGGAACAAAGAAGCAUCUACACAUUUAACUUUUUAUUAUCGUUAAACUUUUGAUUUUUUUUUCUUUCAAAAAAAGUUCUUAUAUAUACAAAUUAUUUGUUUUUAUGAUUCGUACACAAUUAAUUCAAAUUGUCUUCCAUCAAGACAAUAGUUUUCCCCAUCAUGUAAUUGGAACCCCAAUUAUGUGAUUCCUUGAUCAUUUUGAAGAAUGAAUUUACAUUUAUCUUCUUCCCAGUCAUCGGGGACUUUGUUUCAUUCAUAACUGAUGUAUUUUGGUGAAAUGGCUCAGUUAUUAUUAUUCAUUAUAAAAAACUUGCUCAUUAAUAGAAAUAUAGUUUAUGUUAUAAUAAAA